rnacentral:tRNA from 1 species
GGCUGGUUGCCUCAGUUGGUUAGAGUGUGGUGCUAAUAAUGCUAAGGUCGUGGGUUCAAUCCCUGUAUGGGCCA